rnacentral:rRNA from 1 species
CCUACGGGAGGCAGCAGUAGGGAAUAUUGGACAAUGGGCGAAAGCCUGAUCCAGCCAUGCCGCGUGUGUGAAGAAGGCCUUUUGGUUGUAAAGCACUUUAAGCGAGGAGGAGGCUACUUAGAUUAAUACUCUAGGAUAGUGGACGUUACCCGCAGAAUAAGCACCGGCUAACUCUGUGCCAGCAGCCGCGGUAAU